UACGUAGGGGGCAAGCGUUAUCCGGAUUUACUGGGUGUAAAGGGAGCGUAGGUGGCAAGGCAAGUCAGAUGUGAAAACCCGGGGCCCAACCCCGGGAGUGCAUUUGAAACUGUCUGGCUAGAGUGCAGGAGAGGUAAGUGGAAUUCUUGGUGUAGGGGUAAAAUCCGUAGAGAUCAAGAGGAAUACUCAUUGCGAAGGCGACCUGCUAGAACAUAACUGACGCUGAUGCGCGAAAGCGUGGGGAGCAAACAGG
rnacentral:rRNA from 1 species